CUUGCCUAAGGAGGUAAAGCCCAUAUCAAUUAAGUCUGAUUUUUUUUAAAAAAUAUAAAUUAAAAAGAUAGAAAUCCUUAUGAGAUAAGGACUAGUCUUUUUAGGUUGAUUGGUUCUUGAUUUGGAAUCAAGAAAAGAUCUAUAUAAAGAGAUGGUCUCUUAGAAUUUCAAAAUUAUUGGAAUUCAUUGAUUAAAAUCAGAUCUCUCUCUCCUCUCUAUGCCUCAUCCUCUCUCCCUCCUCUCUUUCCC
rnacentral:lncRNA from 1 species